UACGUAGGGUGCAAGCGUUAAUCGGAAUUACUGGGCGUAAAGCGUGCGCAGGCGGUCAUGCAAGACAGAUGUGAAAUCCCCGGGCUCAACCUGGGAACUGCAUUUGUGACUGCAUGACUCGAGUACGGCAGAGGGGGAUGGAAUUCCGCGUGUAGCAGUGAAAUGCGUAGAUAUGCGGAGGAACACCGAUGGCGAAGGCAAUCCCCUGGGCCUGUACUGACGCUCAUGCACGAAAGCGUGGGGAGCAAACAGG
rnacentral:rRNA from 1 species